GGUAAUAUGGCCGAGAUAGGCAUUAGACUGUAAAUCUAAAGACAGAGGGUAAUUCUUCUUAUUACCA
rnacentral:tRNA from 1 species